CACGUAAUCAACGCAAGCUGAUGACUUGCGCUUACUAGGAAUUCCUCGUUGAAGAGCAAUAAUUGCAAUGCUCUAUCCCCAGCACGACGGAGUUUCACAAGAUUACCCAUACCUCUCGGCACAGGUUAGACUCGCUGGCUCCGUCAGUGUAGCGCGCGUGCGGCCCAGAACGUCUAAGGGCAUCACAGACCUGUUAUUGCCUCAAACUUCCAUCGACUUGAAAAUCGAUAGUCCCUCUAAGAAGCUGUCAAAACAAUAAUCUAUUGUUACAGCUAUUUAGCAGGUUAAGGUCUCUUCGUUAUCGA
rnacentral:rRNA from 1 species